AUGUACUGUCCAUGUGUUCACUAUGGGAAUACGAAGAAUUACUCAUCCUCGAAAACCCUUCACGUCCACCUGCUUGAGAAGGGAUUCAUGCCCCACUAUUAUGUUUGGACCAAGCACGGACAAAGAGGGGUUGUGAUGGAAGACAAUGAAGAAGAAGGGGACGAUGACAACUAUCCGCAUGCUAUGUUCCCUGAAUACGGUGAUACUACAAUGGGGGAAGCUGAAGAUCAAGAGGCACCAGAUGUGCCCGAUGAUGAUCUUCGCCGGGUCAUUGUUGAUGCACAGAGAGGAUGCGAAAAUGAAAGGGAGAAGUUGAAGUUCGAUCACAUGUUAGAGGAUCACAAAAAACGGUUGUACCCAAGUUGCAAAGAUGGCAACACAAAGCUCGGUACCACAAUGGAAUUGCUGCAAUUGAAGGCAAAGAAUGGUGUAUCUGACAAGGGAUUUGGUUCGCUACUGAUAAUAGUGAAGAAGAAGCUUCCAAAGGAUAACGAAUUGCCUGACAGUAUGUAUGAGGCAAAGAAGGUUUUCUGCCCUCUAGGUUUAGAGGUGCAGAAGAUACAUGCAUGCCCUAAUGUCUGUAUCCUCUACCGCGGUGAGGAGUACGGCAAUUUGAACGCAUGCCCGGUAUGUGGUGCAUUGCGGUAUAAGAUCAGACGAGAUGACCCUGGUGAUGUUGAGGGCGAGCGCCCCAGGAAGACGGUUCCUGCCAUGGUGAUGUGGUAUGCUCCGAUAAUACCAUGGUUGAAACGUUUGUUCAGAAACAAUGAGCAUGACAAGUUAUUGCGAUGGCACAAGGAAGACCGUAAGAAAGAUUGGAUGUUGAGAGUACCCGCUGACGGGUCGCAGUGGAGAAAAAUUGAGAGACAGUGGCGGGACUCUGCAGGUGACGCAAGGAAUGUAUGGUUUGGUUUAAGUGCAUAUGGCAUUAAUCCUUUUGGGGAGCAGAGAAACAAUCAUAGCACUUGGCAUGCGACUCUACGUAUCUAUAACCUUCCUCCUUGGUUGUGCAUGAAGCAGAAGUUGAUUAUGAUGCCAGUCCUCAUCCAAGGCCGGAAGCAACCCGGCAUUGACAUUGAUGUGUACCUAAGGCCAUUAGUUGAAGAACUUUUAUAG
rnacentral:rRNA from 1 species